rnacentral:rRNA from 1 species
UACAGAGGGUGCGAGCGUUAAUCGGAGUUACUGGGCGUAAAGGGCGCGUAGGCGGUUAUGAGGGUGUGAUGUGAAAGCCCUGGGCUUAACCUAGGAAGUGCAUCGCAAACUGUAUAACUGGAGUAUAAGAGAGGGUGGUGGAAUUUCCGGUGUAGCGGUGAAAUGCGUAGAGAUCGGAAGGAACGUCAAUGGCGAAGGCAGCCACCUGGCUUAAUACUGACGCUGAGGCGCGAAAGCGUGGGGAGCAAACAGG